UACGUAGGGGGCAAGCGUUAUCCGGAUUCACUGGGUGUAAAGGGAGCGUAGACGGCCAGGCAAGCCUGGAGUGAAAGCCCGGGGCCCAACCCCGGGACUGCUCUGGGAACUGUCCGGCUGGAGUGCAGGAGAGGUAAGCGGAAUUCCUAGUGUAGCGGUGAAAUGCGUAGAUAUUGGGAGGAACACCAGUGGCGAAGGCGGCCUGCUGGACAUUAACUGACGCUGAGGCGCGAAAGCGUGGGGAGCAAACAGG
rnacentral:rRNA from 1 species